UGAGAACUGACAAAUGUGGUAGG
rnacentral:miRNA from 1 species